GUUUGGCACCUCGAUGUCGGCUCGUCGCAUCCUGGGGCUGGAGUCGGUCCCAAGGGUUGGGCUGUUCGCCCAUUAAAGCGGUACGCGAGCUGGGUUUAGAACGUCGUGAGACAGUUCGGUCCCUAUCCGCUGUGCGCGUAGGAAUAUUGAGAAGGGCUGUCCCUAGUACGAGAGGACCGGGACGGACGAACCUCUGGUGUGCCAGUUGUUCUGCCAAGGGCAUGGCUGGUUGGCUACGUUCGGAAAGGAUAACCGCUGAAAGCAUCUAAGCGGGAAGCCUGCUUCGAGAUGAGUAUUCCCACCCUCUUGAGGGGUUAAGGCUCCCAGUAGACGACUGGGUUGAUAGGCCAGAUGUGGAAGCCCUGUGAGGGGUGGAGCUGACUGGUACUAAUAGGCCGAGGGCUUGUCCUC
rnacentral:rRNA from 1 species